rnacentral:rRNA from 1 species
CGCAGGGUGAAUGCCUUGGCACUGGGAGCCGACGAAGGACGCGAUAAGCUGCGAAAAGCUGCGGGGAUCAGCAAGUAUGAAAUGAUCCGCAGAUGUCCGAAUGGAGCAAUCCGCCGGAAUAAAGCUCCGGCAUCAUACACUGAAUCCAUAGGUGUAUGAGGGGAACCGCCUGAACUGAAACAUCUAAGUAGGGCGAGGAAGAGAAAUCAACCGAGAUUCUGUGAGUAGUGGCGAGCGAAAGCGGAAGAGGCUAAACCAUAGGUAGCAAUACUUAUGGGGUUUCGGACAGCAUUUAGUAUUGAUAAUUUCUAGUUGAAACGUGUGGGAAAACGUACCGAAGAGUGUGAGAGUCACGUAAGCGAAAGAGAGAGUCAGCGAGCUGUAUCCAAAGUACCGCGGGACACGUGAAACCCCGUGGGAAGAUGGGGGGACCAUCCUCCAAGCCUAAAUACUACCUAAUGACCGAUAGCGAAUAGUACUGUGAAGGAACGGUGAAAAGGACCCCGGGAGGGGAGUGAAAAAGAACCUGAAACCUUGUGCUUACAAGCACCGAGAGCCCAUCAACGGGUGAUCGGGUACCUUUUGUAGAAUGGUCCGGCGAGUGAAUGUAACUGGCGAGGUUAAGGACUUAAGGUCCGGAGCCGUAGCGAGAGCAAGUCUGAAUAGGGCGUAUGAAGUCAGUUGUAUUCGACCCGAAACCGGGUGACCUACCCAUGUCCAGGUUGAAGUGGAGGUAAAACUCCAUGGAGGACCGAACCGACUCCCGUUGAAAUGGUAGCGGAUGAGGUGUGGGUAGCGGAGAAAUUCCAAUCGAACCCGGAGAUAGCUGGUUCUCUCCGAAAUAGCUUUAGGGCUAGCCUCGUAUUAGAUUACCGGAGGUAAAGCACUGAAUGGGCUAGGGGCCGAGAGGUUACUGAACCCUAUCAAACUCAGAAUGCCGGAUAAUUGAUGCACGGGAGUCAGACAGUGUGAGAUAAGUUUCAUUGUCAAAAGGGAAACAGCCCAGACCCACAGCUAAGGUCCCAAAGCAUGGUUAAGUGGAAAAGGAUGUGGGGUUGCAUAAACAACCAGGAUGUUGGCUUAGAAGCAGCCACUCAUUAAAAGAGUGCGUAAUAGCUCACUGGUCGAGUGACCCUGCGCCGAAAAUUCAACGGGGCUAAACAAUGUACCGAAGCUUGGGAUUCUAAAGUAAUUUAGAGUGGUAGGAGAGCGUCGAAUAAGGGGUGAAGUCAGAGCGGAAGCACUGGUGGACUGUAUUCGAGUGAGAAUGCCGGAAUGAGUAGCGAGAAUUAUGUGGGAAUCAUAAUGGCCGAAAAUCUAAGGUUUCUUGGGGAAGGUUCGUCCGCCCAAGGUUAGUCGGGAGCUAAGCUCAGGCCGAAAGGCGUAGGCGAUGCACAUACGGUAGAAAUUCCGUAACCACCGAAACUUAAACAGAGGGACACUUUGAGAUAGCGGAACCCGGGCGUUGGUUGACCCGGGCGAAAGGGAGCGAAAUUAUAGUAGCGAAGUCCGCGAUGCUCAGAGGCGAGAAAAGC